rnacentral:rRNA from 1 species
GACGAACGCUGGCGGCGUGCUUAACACAUGCAAGUCGAACGGAAAGGCCCUGCUUUUGUGGGGUGCUCGAGUGGCGAACGGGUGAGUAACACGUGAGUAACCUGCCCUUGACUUUGGGAUAACUUCAGGAAACUGGGGCUAAUACCGGAUAGGAGCUCCUGCUGCAUGGUGGGGGUUGGAAAGUUUCGGCGGUUGGGGAUGGACUCGCGGCUUAUCAGCUUGUUGGUGGGGUAGUGGCUUACCAAGGCCUUGACGGGUAGCCGGCCUGAGGGGGUGACCGGCCACAUUGGGACUGAGAUACGGCCCAGACUCCUACGGGAGGCAGCAGUGGGGAAUAUUGCACAAUGGGCGGAAGCCUGAUGCAGCAACGCCGCGCGCGGGAUGACGGCCUUCGGGUUGUAAACCGCUUUCGCCUGUGACGAAGCGUGAGUGACGGUAAUGGGUAAAGAAGCACCGGCUAACUACGUG